rnacentral:rRNA from 1 species
UACGAAGGGGGCUAGCGUUGCUCGGAAUCACUGGGCGUAAAGGGUGCGUAGGCGGGUCUUUUAAGUCAGGGGUGAAAUCCUGGAGCUCAACUCCAGAACUGCCUUUGAUACUGAAGAUCUUGAGUCCGGGAGAGGUGAGUGGAACUGCGAGUGUAGAGGUGAAAUUCGUAGAUAUUCGCAAGAACACCAGUGGCGAAGGCGGCUCACUGGCCCGGUACUGAUGCUGAGGCACGAAAGCGUGGGGAGCAAACAGGG